rnacentral:rRNA from 1 species
UACGGAGGGUGCGAGCGUUGUCCGGAAUCAGCUAGGGCGUAAAGGGCGCGUAGGCGGCGGCGGGAGUCAACGGUGAAAGCUCGGCGCUCAACGCCGAGUCGGCCGUCGAUACUCCCGUGCUUGAGCACUGUAGAGGCAGGUGGAAUUCCGGGUGUAGCGGUGGAAUGCGUAGAGAUCCGGAAGAACACCGGUGGCGAAGGCGGCCUGCUGGGCAGUAGCUGACGCUGAGGCGCGACAGCGUGGGGAGCAAACAGG